GCCAGUGUAGCUUAGUGGUUUGAGUGUUAGACUACAACUCUGGAGACCAGGGUUUAAUUCUCAGCUCGACCA